AUACAAUGGUGAGGACACCUUUGCAACAGCUCCUUGUAUCUUGCUCAAGCUUCAUAUAAAGACUCACCAUCUUGUUGCACAAAGGAAGUGAUUUCUCCUCUCAACUU